GACGAACGCUGGCGGCGUGCUUAACACAUGCAAGUCGAACGGUGAAGCGCCUUCCUUUUUGGUGGGUGUGGAUGAGUGGCGAACGGGUGAGUAACACGUGAGUAACCUGCCCCCUUCUUCUGGAUAACCGCAUGAAAGUGUGGCUAAUACGGGAUAUUCUGGGUCUGUCGCAUGAUGGGUCUGGGAAAGAUAUUGUUUCGGUGGGGGAUGGGCUCGCGGCCUAUCAGCUUGUGGGUGGGGUGAUGGCCUACCAAGGCGGUGACGGGUAGCCGGCCCGGGAGGUUGGACGGUCAACCUGGGACGGGGCCACGGCCCAGCCUCCACGGGGGGGAGGCGGUGGGGAAUAUGGCACAAGGGGGGAAGGCCUGUGGCGGCGACGCCGGGUGAGGAUGGAGGCCUUCGGGUUGUGAACCUCUUUCGCCAGUGAAGCAGGCCUGCCUCGUUUGUGGGUGGGUUGACGGUAGCUGGAGAAGAAGCGCCGGCUAACUACGUG
rnacentral:rRNA from 1 species